rnacentral:rRNA from 1 species
UACGUAGGGGGCUAGCGUUGUCCGGAUUUAUUGGGCGUAAAGAGCUCGUAGGCGGUCCGUCACGUCGGAUGUGAAAUUCCAGGGCUCAACCCUGGACCUGCAUUCGAUACGGGCGGACUAGAGUUCGGUAGGGGAGACUGGAAUUCCUGGUGUAGCGGUGAAAUGCGUAGAGAUCGGGAGGAACACCAGCGGCGAAGGCGGCAAACUGGAUAGGAACUGACACUCAACAACGAAAGCGUGGGGAGCAAACAGG